rnacentral:lncRNA from 1 species
CCGAGAGAUGCGUUUCAGAUUGGUCUGCGGUGUAGCAUCUUGUGUCUCUAAAAUGAGCUGCUCGUUAUGCGUAGAUAAUCCUUUGUACUGCAGUUUUUUUCAAAGGAUAUAACGUUGGCUAUGGAAAACUACAAAUAUGUUGCUAUCGCUUCCAAUAACAUUGCUGCCCUGAAUUUAUCAGGCGCUUUCGACAAAGGUCAGUGGGAAAAAGUUGAUGGACUACUUUCUGGAGGACGAUCUCUGAUGAAAAACAUUUUAAUUGAAGACACUGUCUUCUGAUGCCAGUGAUGGGGAAGAAACGGAAAUCAACAGUGUUGUCAUGGAAGAAGUUGACCGAGUUUUGAAAUCAGUGGAAUGUCUGUGCAAACUAAAUGAAAACAACACAGGAUGUCUUAUUUAAUGGAAGGGGUUGCAGUCUGCUGUGACGCUUUCAUCCAUGUAUACGGUCUUUCAGCAACAGUAGAACACACCUGACUCUCCUCCACCAGUCACACAAGGAGAAUGGUCUAAUGCCUCCCAUCAAAAAGAGAGCUGGCCCAAGCAAGUACAGGUUACACCUGAAGCAUGGGGACUUGCAGCGAGUGGUGAACUUUAUCAACAAAUACGCAGAGGACAAUGACAUAGUAUUGCCAGAACGACACCAAGGACACAAACACUUUGGAGAUGUACGUGUAGUCGGGCUGUCUUCCUUCAGGAAUCUAUGGAGAAAAUUGCAGCGCCACAGCUCAAGCACUAAGCCCAGGACAGACCUGUGCUGGCAGUGCCAGGGGAACAACUGGCAGAUCUGAAGACCUGAUAAUCUGCCAGAAGCUGUUUAAUUAGUCAAGCUGAAGAAGCAAGAGCAGCAUCUCCUGCUUGUUCAGUGAGCGAUCUGUCUACCAGAAGAUGGUUGCUGACUGCAAGACCACCUGUCAAGACUUGCAGUUGUCUCUGGGUUUGCUCAACAAGUGCACUAUCCUUCUGACCCUAUGAAGCCAGGUGCCAUCUACUUUUAACUCCUCGCAAGUGUGGCUUGUUUGGUGUCUGCUGUGAAGGAAUACCACAAGUCGACUACUUGAUUGAUGAAGGCAUGUCAUACAGCAAAGGCAGUAGUGUAGUCAUGUGAAGAACAGCACUUUGACAGGGGUCAACACCCCACAGCUGGUUGGACUGGAGGAUGGUACGGUGCUGGUGGAAAGCUAUGGCUGGCAACAACACCUGACUCCGUACUUCAGGCCGCUGCCACAGAUCAAGCAGUACCAGCACUUCAGACAUUUCCCACUUCUUGUUUGGAGUCUAUUGGAC